rnacentral:rRNA from 1 species
GGUUUCCGUAGGUGAACCUGCGGAAGGAUCAUUGAAUCUAUCAACAACCACACCUAGCGAACUAACUUGUCGGUCACUUGCAUAGCUUGGCAACGAGCUAUGCAAGGUGUCACUUUACUGUGUGAUUCGUCAUGCAGGGGAGUGGCAGGUUUGCCUCUCUUACAUUCUUGUAAGAGUGGUGGAUUGGCCCCUUUUCAACCAACCCACUCCAAACAAAACCAAACUGAAGCAACUGUGUAGCCGGCUUGGCCGUCCUACACGCUAAACCAAGACAACUCUCAACAACGGAUAUCUUGGCUCUCGCAACGAUGAAGAACGCAGCGAAAUGCGAUACGUAGUGUGAAUUGCAGAAUUCCGUGAAUCAUCAAGUCUUUGAACGCAUAUUGCGCUCGAGGCCUCGGCCAAGAGCAUGUCUGGCUCAGCGUCGAUGUACCCCUCAAUCCCCCAAACAUCUUGUAUGUCUGGGUCGAUUGGAUCUGGUAGUCCCGGCUCUCUAAUUUAUUAGAAAGCCGGGUCUACUGAAGCACAGAGGCUGAUUAAGGACCGUUUAUGGGCCGCAUCUAGGUAGGCAGCAUCACUGCUACAUAUUUAGGUGUUGGCUUGGCUCUUUGUCAAUUGCCCUCAAACCAGGAACAUCUUACAUUUUCGACCUGAGCUCAGGCAAGAACACCCGCUGAACUUAAGCAUAUCAUA